rnacentral:rRNA from 1 species
GAUGAACGCUGGCGGCGUGCCUAAUACAUGCAAGUCGAGCGAACAGACGAGGAGCUUGCUCCUCUGACGUUAGCGGCGGACGGGUGAGUAACACGUGGAUAACCUACCUAUAAGACUGGGAUAACUUCGGGAAACCGGAGCUAAUACCGGAUAAUAUAUUGAACCGCAUGGUUCAAUAGUGAAAGACGGUUUUGCUGUCACUUAUAGAUGGAUCCGCGCCGCAUUAGCUAGUUGGUAAGGUAACGGCUUACCAAGGCGACGAUGCGUAGCCGACCUGAGAGGGUGAUCGGACACACUGGAACUGAGACACGGUCCAGACUCCUAAGGGAGGCAGCAGUAGGGAAUCUUCCGCAAUGGGCGAAAGCCUGACGGAGCAACGCCGCGUGAGUGAUGAAGGUCUUCGGAUCGUAAAACUCUGUUAUUAGGGAAGAACAAAUGUGUAAGUAACUAUGCACGUCUUGACGGUACCUAAUCAGAAAGCCACGGCUAACUACGUG